AAAAAAAAAUGCAUUAGUAGGCUGUUCAUUCCACAGUACUUCUGACAUUAACUGUUCCUAUCUGCCACCUUGCUGGGUAUAAGGUGAAAUCUCAUGUUUUAAUUUGCAAUCCUCUAAUUAUUUACAGUAGUCUUUCAGAUGGUGGCUGACAGUUUACAAUUCUUUUAAAAAAUACUUGUUCAGAUGCGUUGAGAAAUCAUCAAUUAGGGAAUGACUUUUAUUCAGUCAUAUGUUUCUGUCAGGUUUUUACACAUCUUGAAUUCCAAACCCUUAACAGAGAGGUUUAAUUUUCCUUAGUUUGUAGUUCUUGUUAUUAGCCCAGAUGAAUCAAUUUUGUUUGUGCAGAAGCUUUUCACUUUAUGUAAUCAAAGUUGUUUUUUUUUUAUUUUAUUAUUACAUCUAUGUUGUUUUAAAGAAUUGUAGGGAUAAAAACUGAUACAGUAUCGGUGGUUUGGUUGUUGUGUUAUUGAUCUUUGAUUAGGCUGUGGCCUAGCAGCUGGUGUGAGCUGAGAUUCAGUUUUAACAGUUGGGCCUAGUUAGAGGUUUGAUGAAUGUAGAUUUUCCUUUCCUGAAUCUCCAAAUUUUCCUCCAACACCGUCACCAGCUAUUCCAAGGUUUUCCAGAGAGCAGAUCCAACCAACCACCCUCAGAGUAGGCAAAUUCCAAGAGUCACAGUUAUUUUCCCAACAGACCCCAGAGGCUCCUGGCAAAUUCUCUAAAGGAACUUCUCAGAACAUUCCAGCUGGUUCUUAAGGAUUUGUUAAUAUAUAAGAAAGUAUUCCAAUAUGAAACACGAGGCUACAGAAUUUCAGAAAGAUCUUGUUCUUAAAGGUUGGAUGACAUAUAAGACAACUGGAAAAGAGGACAUAACAGAAUGAUCAAGAACUGGCAAAAUAGAGAAGUUUGCAUCAUCAAUACCAUGUCCUCACACUGCCAUUUGACAUGAGGAAAAAGAUAAAAAAGAAUAAUUCUCCAGGAUGUUCCGGGAUACCUGGCAAAUGGUCUCUGCAAAUUUGUGUUAAAGAGAGGAGAUUCUUUUUAUUUCAUCUAAUAUGA
rnacentral:lncRNA from 1 species